rnacentral:rRNA from 1 species
GAGCGAGAACCAGGACUUCGGUCCUGGGGACAGCGGCGAACGGGUGAGUAACACGUGGGUAAUCUGCCCUCGAUUCUUGAUAGCCCGGGGAAACCCGGAUUAAUACUGGAUAGCCUUCCAAGCCUUCGGGCGAAGAAGAAAAGGUAGCUUCGGCCUCCGAUCGAGGAUGAGCCCGCGGUGGAUUAGCUUGUCGGCGGGGUAAUGGCCCACCAAGGCGACGAUCCAUAGCUGGUCUGAGAGGACGAUCAGCCACACUGGGACUGAGACACGGCCCAGACUCCUACGGGAGGCAGCAGUGGGGAAUCUUGCGCAAUGGGCGAAAGCCUGACGCAGCGACGCCGCGUGGGGGAAGAAGGCCUUAGGGUUGUAAACCUCUUUCAGGUGGGACGAAGCCACUCGGGUUAAUAGCCCAGAGGGUGACGGUACCACCAGAAGAAGCCCCGGCUAACUACGUGCCAGCAGCCGCGGUAAUACGUAGGGGGCAAGCGUUGUCCGGAUUUAUUGGGCGUAAAGAGCGUGUAGGCGGUCAGGUAGGUGGGUUGUGAAAACUGGAGGCUCAACCUUCAGACGUCGACCCAAACCCCCUGGCUAGAGUCCGGAAGAGGAGAGUGGAAUUCCUGGUGUAGCGGUGAAAUGCGCAGAUAUCAGGAAGAACACCCGUGGCGAAGGCGGCUCUCUGGGACGGUACUGACGCUGAGACGCGAAAGCGUGGGGAGCGAACAGGAUUAGAUACCCUGGUAGUCC